AUUGAAGGUGGAGCAAUGCAAGUUCAAGAAGCAAAGAAGUCUCUUCCUUCUUCCUGUUAUAAGAGCAACUGCUGUCUGCACAAUGGGAGGGCCAAAAGCUGCUGAAAAGGGAAGGAGAACAGCUGAAAGUAUUUGCAAAGACUUUGCUGCAGGACUUGUCUUAUGUUUGAAGAACCUGGCUUGGAAGAUUAUAGUGAAGUGCGUGUUCAAAUUUUAGGAUCUGAAAAAACAGGUAGAGCACAAGCUAAAGCAAAUUUAAAUGGAUUUAAAAUGAGAUCAUCUGCUAAGAGAGUAAUGAAGCAUUUGGAAGUGGUGAAAAUAGGAAAUGCCCUCUUUGGAGAAUUGGAGAAAUUGGAGACUGAUGACAGACAGCGAUUUUUGAACCACAUUGAGGUUCAAUGGAGGUUAGAGACCGUGGAUUCAUAGGACUUGUGACUAGAGGAUUGUGUGACUUCUCAAAGAGUGACCAGGGGACAAUGAGAAUGUUAUUCUUCACUGUAUGUUAUAUUUUUGAGGCAUAUAAAGUGAUUGUUUUAUUUAAUUAUUUUUAUUUUGAACUCUGUUUCUAUGAUAUUCAUAGUUAUUCUUUUGAAAAAUUUUUAUUUAUGCUGUAUAAAUCAUUACCUCCUUGUUUUAAAUAUGUCUGUUAUAGAUUUACAUACUGAUA